rnacentral:lncRNA from 1 species
AAGUUAUGAAUUAUGAUAUAUACAAGGAAAAUUCGGAAAAAUAUCCUCAAGGCUCAAACAAAAGUUACAAAAACAAUUGCUUCAAAACACCUACAGAAAUACCAAAAGUAGUAAUACGAAAUAUACUUCGUUAACCAAAAACGAUGCACAUUAUAUUAUGUUUCGAUUUGGUCAAACCAAAACGACGAGUUUUUUUUUUUUUUAGUUUGAUUUAAAGGUUAUUUUGCAUCUUUUUGUAAGCUGAGAAUGAUAAUUUUGCAAAAGCUGUAGUUUGAAGGGGUUAAAUAAAUAAAUAAUAAUUCUCUAAUAGCAAUUAUUGGAGAUAUUUCCAAGUUGACUAAAAAACGAAGCAGCACGAAAAUAUGGACUGACGUGCAAAUAGUAAAAUGGAACAUGUACAUGCAUGGACCAUGGUUUGUGAUGGUUGGUUGAUAUUGAGUCGAGUCAGACAAAAUUGUACUUGUAUAUAACUAAAUGGUUCAAAAAAAAAAAAAAAAAAAAAAACGAAUGGUUCAAUAAAUUUCAUGAUUCGAAGGGGACGUAUGAUUUGGACUUUCAGAUUAAAUAGUUUUGCUGCCUCUUCUUAAUUCUUUCUGGUCUAUUUGCAUGUCGUUGUAAAAUUUAUGUGAACUGUGCCCACAAUAUGUUCAGGUGUAUAGUGUUUAGUGUUAUAUAUUUCAAUAUACAUUUUUUUUUUUUUUGGUAAAAUAUUUCAAUAUACAUAAUAAAUUGUGAAUGCAAAUAGUGUGUUAAAAUCAUGAGUUACAAAUUGUUUUUUUUUAAAGAUGAAUCUAUAAAAUUCUCUAACUCGUUGGUUAAAGAUAACAUGUAGCUUUCUAAGCUCAGGUUCUCAAACACUAUUCCGUUUGCUUAUGUGCAAUGCAAAGUCGAUUAGUCAAAACUUCUUACAAUAGAUAAAGUUAUAGAUAAAACUUGAGGUCAUAGUUCGAAAACGAAAUAAUUUUUUUUUUUUUAACUCAUAUAUUUUAACCUCUUGAACAAGAGUUUUUACAUUGGAGGAUUUCAUUUUGUUACUCUGAUUUAGUUACAGUUAAGAACUUAGUAAUAACGAUCAAAGCAUAUCCACAGAAUUGAAUGAAAGGCAGAUCAGAGAAGCUCAUCUAUAUAAGGAGGGGAGUUAUAUCUCUCAUAUGCAUGAAAAC